rnacentral:rRNA from 1 species
AGAGUUUGAUCAUGGCUCAGAUUGAACGCUGGCGGCAGGCUUAACACAUGCAAGUCGAGCGGGGGAAGGUAGCUUGCUACUGGACCUAGCGGCGGACGGGUGAGUAAUGCUUAGGAAUCUGCCUAUUAGUGGGGGACAACAUCUCGAAAGGGAUGCUAAUACCGCAUACGUCCUACGGGAGAAAGCAGGGGAUCUUCGGACCUUGCGCUAAUAGAUGAGCCUAAGUCGGAUUAGCUAGUUGGUGGGGUAAAGGCCUACCAAGGCGACGAUCUGUAGCGGGUCUGAGAGGAUGAUCCGCCACACUGGGACUGAGACACGGGCCAGACUCCUACGGGAGGCAGCAGUGGGGAAUAUUGGACAAUGGGGGGAACCCUGAUCCAGCCAUGCCGCGUGUGUGAAGAAGGCCUUAUGGUUGUAAAGCACUUUAAGCGAGGAGGAGGCUACUUUAGUUAAUACCUAGAGAUAGUGGACGUUACUCGCAGAAUAAGCACCGGCUAACUCUGUGCCAGCAGCCGCGGUAAUACAGAGGGUGCGAGCGUUAAUCGGAUUUACUGGGCGUAAAGCGUGCGUAGGCGGCUUAUUAAGUCGGAUGUGAAAUCCCCGAGCUUAACUUGGGAAUUGCAUUCGAUACUGGUGAGCUAGAGUAUGGGAGAGGAUGGUAGAAUUCCAGGUGUAGCGGUGAAAUGCGUAGAGAUCUGGAGGAAUACCGAUGGCGAAGGCAGCCAUCUGGCCUAAUACUGACGCUGAGGUACGAAAGCAUGGGGAGCAAACAGGAUUAGAUACCCUGGUAGUCCAUGCCGUAAACGAUGUCUACUAGCCGUUGGGGCCUUUGAGGCUUUAGUGGCGCAGCUAACGCGAUAAGUAGACCGCCUGGGGAGUACGGUCGCAAGACUAAAACUCAAAUGAAUUGACGGGGGCCCGCACAAGCGGUGGAGCAUGUGGUUUAAUUCGAUGCAACGCGAAGAACCUUACCUGGCCUUGACAUACUAGAAACUUUCCAGAGAUGGAUUGGUGCCUUCGGGAAUCUAGAUACAGGUGCUGCAUGGCUGUCGUCAGCUCGUGUCGUGAGAUGUUGGGUUAAGUCCCGCAACGAGCGCAACCCUUUUCCUUACUUGCCAGCAUUUCGGAUGGGAACUUUAAGGAUACUGCCAGUGACAAACUGGAGGAAGGCGGGGACGACGUCAAGUCAUCAUGGCCCUUACGGCCAGGGCUACACACGUGCUACAAUGGUCGGUACAAAGGGUUGCUACACAGCGAUGUGAUGCUAAUCUCAAAAAGCCGAUCGUAGUCCGGAUUGGAGUCUGCAACUCGACUCCAUGAAGUCGGAAUCGCUAGUAAUCGCGGAUCAGAAUGCCGCGGUGAAUACGUUCCCGGGCCUUGUACACACCGCCCGUCACACCAUGGGAGUUUGUUGCACCAGAAGUAGCUAGCCUAACUGCAAAGAGGGCGGUUACCACGGUGUGGCCGAUGACUGGGGUGAAGUCGUAACAAGGUAGCCGUAGGGGAACCUGCGGCUG